UGGGGAAUAUUGGACAAUGGGCGCAAGCCUGAUCCAGCAAUGUCGCGUGUGUGAAGAAGGCCUUCGGGUUGUAAAGCACUUUUAUCAGGAGCGAAACGCUGUCGGCUAAUACCCGGCGGAACUGACGGUACCUGAGGAAUAAGCACCGGCUAACUUCGUGCCAGCAGCCGCGGUAAUACGAAGGGUGCAAGCGUUAAUCGGAAUUACUGGGCGUAAAGCGUGCGUAGGCGGUUUCUUAAGUCUGCUGUGAAAUCCCCGGGCUCAACCUGGGAAUGGCAGUGGAUACUGGGAGGCUAGAGUGUGUCAGAGGGUGGUGGAAUUCCCGGUGUAGCGGUGAAAUGCGUAGAGAUCGGGAGGAACAUCAGUGGCGAAGGCGGCCACCUGGGACAACACUGACGCUGAGGCACGAAAGCGUGGGGAGCAAACNAGGAUUAGGAUACCCUGGUAGUCCACGCCCUAAACGAUGCGAACUGGAUGUUGGUCUCAACUCGGAGAUCAGUGUCGAAGCUAACGCGUUAAGUUCGCCGCCUGGGGAGUACGGUCGCAAGACUGAAACUCAAAUGAAUUGACGGGGUCAUAGCUGUUUCCU
rnacentral:rRNA from 1 species